GAUGAACGCUAGCUACAGGCUUAACACAUGCAAGUCGAGCGACCGGCGCACGGGUGAGUAACACGUAACCAACCUGCCCAUUACCCGGGGAUAGCCUUUCAAAAGUAAGAUUAAUACCCGAUUUAAAGGAGGUGGAUGCGUUCCUUUCGGUUGUUGGUGAGGUAACGGCUCACCAGGCCUUCGAUGGCGAGGGGUUCUGGGAGGAAGGUCACCGGCAUUGGAACUGGGCCCCGGACCCGACGGCUACGGGCGGCAGCAGUGAGGGAUAAUGGUGAAUGAGCGCGAUCCUGAACCGGCCAAGUAGCGUGAAGGGUGAAGGCUUAUGAAGCGUUAACUUCUUGUAUAUAAGAAUAUGUAUUAUAUGAAUAAGGAUCGGCUAACUCCGUGCCAGCAGCCGCGGUAAUAC
rnacentral:rRNA from 1 species